GCGCCUACACACUCUGGGAAGAGGUAGGGUUUGUAGCCUUCAUCUCUGGAAACCUGCUGGAACACAGCAGCCACAAAUGUCAUCAGUGCAGAAUGAAAACAGCUGGCCUCGUGCAGGGAGAAGCAGCCUCUGAAAUAUGUGAGAAAAAACUGGAUCAUCAACCAACAUCAUCAGCAUUUCACUACUCAAACUAAGGAGCAAGCAGAGGCAGCAGUGAGGACUUUCUUGGUUUGUUUCAACUGGAAGAGCUAUUAAAAUGUUUCGAUAACAGGACACUAGUCCAGGUCACAGGCGUAUGUAAGCAACUGAAGUCACAGGAGUUCAGACACACAGAAAAAGGUCUGCACAGACCACAAGCUAGAUGCCCAGUAAAAGGUAUAAAGUGCUGUUGGCUCAGGUGAUGAUGGGAGAAAUCAAUGGGUUGGAUCCACUGCACAUGCUGAAUGACUGACUUCUACUGUUUACAGGAUGGCUUCAAAAGCAGAGCCCUCAAGUAGGAGUGGGACUGGUGGUGGAAGUCUGGGUCAUCUGUGGAGUUGAAGUUGAGACUGUAUUGGAGCUCAAUGGUUGAGAAACAGACACCAAACAGAGUCUUUCCUGAAGCUCCAUGGGCCAGUCACAAACGGUGGGUUUUCUUCCAUAAUGAUUCUCUAAGCCGUGAGGAACUACAACAAUGUGUCUGCUUUGUGAACUGAGUGCAUGCACUCAAUCACUCAAUGCACAUGCAGAUAGUUCAAAAAUAAAAUCUUCUUGAAGGGAGGGGCAAGAAUGCCAGCUCCCUGCGUACAGUUCUAGAAUGUUCCUGGAAUUGGUUCUGUAUCUGUGAGUGGAACUGCAUGGAGACCAAAAAGAACUACUCAGGGGAACAGAAUUUGCUCCCUGCCUACUUGAUCUCUAUACUUCCAUUUGCUCCUCAUCAUAGCAAUC